rnacentral:rRNA from 1 species
AUGCUCGUUUUGGAAACAGAGCACUAUGUAUCCUCAACUGCACAUAUACCAUCAGGCAGACUGGAUGGGAUUCUUAGGAUGUUGAAUAUAGGAAGGGUUGCAUCGUCGCGAAGAAGUGAAGGAGAGACUCUUCGAUCGGAAAUGAUUAAGUGGCACCGAAGGCAGGCGUGGAUGAUCUUCUGGUGGAGACACCACUUAAAGACUCGAAGAGUUCAGGACUAUUGUCGGUUAUCAAAGACAUUGGAAGAGAGGGUGACGGAACAUGUAAGGACAUGUACAAUGGUUGAUAAGAUAGUUUCAUUUUAA